rnacentral:rRNA from 1 species
AGCACGUUAUGGUGGGCGACUCUAAGGAGACUGCCGGGUGACAAACCGGAGGAAGGUGGGGGAGUGACGUCAAGUCAUCAUGGCCCUUACGGCCUGGGCUACACACGUGCUACAAUGGUCGGUACAAAGGGUUGCCAAGCCGCGAGGUGGAGCUAAUCCCAUAAAACCGAUCGUAGUCCGGAUCGCAGUCUGCAACUCGACUGCGUGAAGUCGGAAUCGCUAGUAAUCGUGAAUCAGAAUGUCACGGUGAAUACGUUCCCGGGCCUU